GACAGGGUUACUCUGAGUGAUUUCCGUUAAGGAGAUCUUUUGGCACCUCUAAAAAUGGUGCAGAAUAAGGGGUGGGCAAGUCUGGUGUCAGCCGCCGCGGUAAUACCAGCACCCCGAGUGGUCGGGACGUUUAUUGGGCUUAAAGCAUCCGUAGCCGGUUCUACAAGUCUUCCGUUAAAUCCACCUGCUUAACAGAUGGGCUGCGGAAGAUACUAUAGAGCUAGGAGGCGGGAGAGGCAAGCGGUACUCGAUGGGUAGGGGUAAAAUCCGUUGAUCCAUUGAAGACCACCAGUGGCGAAGGCGGCUUGCCAGAACGCGCUCGACGGUGAGGGAUGAAAGCUGGGGGAGCAAACCGGAUUAGAUACCCGGGUAGUCCCAGCUGUAAACGAUGCAGACUCGGUGAUGAGUUGGCUUAUUGCUAACUCAGUGCCGCAGGGAAGCCGUUAAGUUUGCCGCCUGGGGAGUACGGUCGCAAGACUGAAACUUAAAGGAAUUGGCGGGGGAGCACCACAAGGGGUGAAGCCUGCGGUUCAAUUGGAGUCAACGCCGGAAAUCUUACCGGGGGCGACAGCAGAGUGAAGGUCAAGCUGAAGACUUUACCAGACAAGCUGAGAGGAGGUGCAUGGCCGUCGCCAGCUCGUGCCGUGAGGUGUCCUGUUAAGUCAGGUAACGAGCGAGAUCCCUGCCUCUAGUUGCUACCAUUAUUCUCAGGAGUAGUGGAGCUAAUUAGAGGGACCGCCGUCGCUGAGACGGAGGAAGGUGGGGGCUACGGCAGGUCAGUAUGCCCCGAAACCCUCGGGCCACACGCGGGCUGCAAUGGUAAGGACAAUGAGUUUCGAUUCCGAAAGGAGGAGGCAAUCUCUAAACCUUACCACAGUUAUGAUUGAGGGCUGAAACUCGCCCUCAUGAAUAUGGAAUCCCUA
rnacentral:rRNA from 1 species